rnacentral:rRNA from 1 species
UAGGGAAUCUUCCGCAAUGGGCGAAAGCUUGACGGAGCAACGCCGCGUGAGUGAUGAAGGUCUUCGGAUCGUAAAACUCUGUUAUUAGGGAAGAACAAAUGUGUAAGUAACUAUGCACGUCUUGACGGUACCUAAUCAGAAAGCCACGGCUAACUACGUGCCAGCAGCCGCGGUAAUACGUAGGUGGCAAGCGUUAUCCGGAAUUAUUGGGCGUAAAGCGCGCGUAGGCGAUUUUUUAAGUCUGAUGUGAAAGCCCACGGCUCAACCGUGGAGGGUCAUUGGAAACUGGAAAACUUGAGUGCAGAAGAGGAAAGUGGAAUUCCAUGUGUAGCGGUGAAAUGCGCAGAGAUAUGGAGGAACACCAGUGGCGAAGGCGACUUUCUGGUCUGUAACUGACGCUGAUGUGCGAAAGCGUGGGGAUCAAACAGG